GGCGCCAUAGUCUAUCGGUUAGGACGCGGCCCUUUCAAGGCUGAGAGACGGGUUCGACUCCCGUUGGCGCUACCA
rnacentral:tRNA from 1 species